AUGCUUGUUAGACUUUGAGCCACACAUUUACUAUUUACUGCUUAUGAGCAUUGAGUAUGGUCAAGCUGUGUAGACCCUUAGGAGCUUGUCAUGUAGUUAAAUCAAGAUUUCACUUGCACGUUCACUCAUAUAUGCUACUUCUACUCCGGAAGUAUCAACCACAUAUAUCCACCCAUUUCCAUCUCCAGAAUCACCCAAAAAUAUUCUACUCCUAUUCCGGGAGAGAAUAGCCAAAAAUAUUUCUGUUUUCCCUUGUGAAAUAAAUGCUCAAGUUAUCUUGUUACUACCACUUGCUAUAUUAUCUCAAGAGAUGAGUGCUCUAAAAAAAAUACGAGGAAAUAAAACGGAGCAAGUGCUCGGAACCUCAAAAGAAAAGAAAAAGAGAGACGAGAGGUAAAAAUGGACAAGUGUCCGACAGUAGAAUUAGGGGUACAAGAUACCCACUUGAGAGAAAAGAAAAAGAAGAGCAUCUCAUUCUCCUCAUAAAGUUUUAAAAAGCAAGGAAGGUAUGUAUCCCCUCAAAGAGCAAAGUAGAAUUAGACUUCCACCAUUGUUAUCACCAUUAUCACCAUACACCAUUCAUUCACCACACAUGCACAUCUUGAUGUGACUUAUUGAUUUGUUUCUUUGGAUCCAUGGUUUGACUAUGCAAUAAAUGUCUUAUAAAGUAUGUAUACUUUAUCUCCCACCUAUGAGCUCUAGAUAUUAAAGCCUUAUUAGAGUAGGGUGAGAGAGAAGGCAAUGUCACUAUGCUUUAUACCACAAAUACUACAUAUCUUGAGAGAAGGCAUAUACCAUCACUGCCUAGGUAAGGAUCCAGAAAUACCACAAAAGAGAGAUCUGAGAGAAUCAUACAAGGAAUUCUGAGUUUUAUUUGAAAAUCUACAAAAACUCCAGAGCUAUAGCUGAUCAAGAAUAAGAGACAUGGCACUUGACUAGACUGUUCUAUCUUUUAACCUCUUAAGACAGAAGUGACGGUUACAAGUCCCAUGGUGCAGGUAAAGUAAGUAAGUUUUAAGUCUUGACAGUUUACUCUAACUCAG
rnacentral:lncRNA from 1 species